rnacentral:rRNA from 1 species
AUGGGACGCACCGCCUUGGUCAAGUCGGUGCUUGCCUCCCAAGCCAUAUACUUCAUCACUAUGCUCGUCGUCCCCACAAGCACCCUCAAAAAUCUCAACAAGCUUGAGCGAGCGUUCCUUUGGGAGGGAACAGACAAGACCACCAGGGCCAAUUGCAAGGUUAAUUGGGACACCGUUUGCCGCCCAAUUGCUAAUGGGGGUCUUCGAGUGCUAAACACGGAGAAAUUUGCUAGGGCACUGAGGAUUCGUUGGAUUUGGUUUGAGUGGAAGGAGCCAACUAAGAUGUGGGUUGGCAUG